rnacentral:sRNA from 1 species
AUAACUAUAAAUUUUGGCAAAAUUUUGACAAAAUUUUGACCUUGCUAUUGAAAUGACUAAGGCUUCUUACGGAAUUCGGGCAGAUAUAAACAGCGAUUCGAUAAAAUAUGUCAGUUGAAAUUAAUAAUUGCAUUAUUUCUUAAUAAAAAGACAUCCUAGCUUUACCAUGUUGUGAAACAAUCCAUUAAUUGUAAUAUUACGUUUAGCGCCUUGUUCAUCAAUGCUAUAAUUAGUUACAUAAUAAAUUGAACAUCUAAAUACACCAAAUCCCCUCACUAUUGCCCUAGUGAGGGGAUUU